UCCGUAGGUGGAUAAUUAAGUCAGGGGUGAAAGUCUGCAGCUCAACUGUAGAAUUGCCCUUGAUACUGGUUGUCUUGAGUCAUUAUGAAGUAGUUAGAAUAUGUAGUGUAGCGGUGAAAUGCAUAGAUAUUACAUAGAAUACCAAUUGCGAAGGCAGAUUACUAAUAAUGUACUGACACUGAUGGACGAAAGCGUGGGGAGCGAACAGGAUUAGAUACCCUGGUAGUC
rnacentral:rRNA from 1 species